AGUGAACGCUGGCGGUAGGCCUAACACAUGCAAGUCGAACGGCAGCACAGUAAGAGCUUGCUCUUACGGGUGGCGAGUGGCGGACGGGUGCGGAAUACAUCGGAAUCUACUUUUUCGUGGGGGAUAACGUAGGGAAACUUACGCUAAUACCGCAUACGACCUACGGGUGAAAGCAGGGGAUCUUCGGCCCUUGCGCGAUUGAAUGAGCCGAUGUCGGAUUAGCUAGUUGGCGGGGUAAAGGCCCACCAAGGCGACGAUCCGUAGCUGGUCUGAGAGGAUGAUCAGCCACACUGGAACUGAGACACGGUCCAGACUCCUACGGGAGGCAGCAGUGGGGAAUAUUGGACAAUGGGCGCAAGCCUGAUCCAGCCAUACCGCGUGGGUGAAGAAGGCCUUCGGGUUGUAAAGCCCUUUUGUUGGGAAAGAAAAGCAGCAGGUUAAUACCCCGCUGUUCUGACGUUACCCAAAGAAUAAGCACCGGCUAACUUCGUG
rnacentral:rRNA from 1 species